GUGGGGAAUCUUAGACAAUGGGCGCAAGCCUGAUCUAGCCAUGCCGCGUGAGCGAUGAAGGCCUUAGGGUUGUAAAGCUCUUUCGUGGGGGAAGAUAAUGACUGUACCCCAAGAAGAAGCCCCGGCUAACUCCGUGCCAGCAGCCGCGGUAAUACGGAGGGGGCUAGCGUUGUUCGGAAUUACUGGGCGUAAAGCGCACGUAGGCGGUCUGGAAAGUCAGGGGUGAAAUCCCGGGGCUCAACCCCGGAACUGCCUUUGAAACUCCCAGUCUUGAGUUCGAGAGAGGUGAGUGGAAUUCCGAGUGUAGAGGUGAAAUUCGUAGAUAUUCGGAGGAACACCAGUGGCGAAGGCGGCUCACUGGCUCGAUACUGACGCUGAGGUGCGAAAGCGUGGGGAGCAAACAGGAUUAGAUACCCGGGUAGUCC
rnacentral:rRNA from 1 species